rnacentral:rRNA from 1 species
CGUAGGUGGCAAGCGUUGUCCGGAUUUAUUGGGUUUAAAGGGUGCGUAGGCGGCCCUGUAAGUCAGUGCUGAAAUAUCCCGGCUUAACCGGGAGGGUGGCAUUGAUACUGCAGGGCUUGAGUAAAGUUGAGGUUGGCGGAAUUGACGUGUAGCGGUGAAAUGCUUAGAUAUCGUCAAGAACACCGAUAGUGUAGACAGCUAACUAAGCUUUAACUGACGCUGAGGCACGAAAGUGUGGGGAUCAAACAGGAUUAGAUACCCUGGUAGUCCACACUGUAAACGUUGAUGACUCGCUGUUGGCGAUAUACAGUCAGCGGCUUAGAGAAAUCGUUAAGUCAUCCACCUGGGGAGUACGCCGGCAACGGUG